GGUGCUAUAGCUCAGGGGUAGAGCAGCUGCUCUCCAUUGCAGAUGGUCCUAGGUUCAAUCCCUGAUGUCUCCA